rnacentral:rRNA from 1 species
CCUACGGGUGGCAGCAGUGAGGAAUAUUGGUCAAUGGACGAGAGUCUGAACCAGCCAAGUAGCGUGAAGGAUGACUGCCCUAUGGGUUGUAAACUUCUUUUAUAUGGGAAUAAAAUGUUCCACGUGUGGGAUUUUGUAUGUACCAUAUGAAUAAGGAUCGGCUAACUCCGUGCCAGCAGCCGCGGUAAUACGGAGGAUCCGAGCGUUAUCCGGAUUUAUUGGGUUUAAAGGGAGCGUAGGUGGAUUGUUAAGUCAGUUGUGAAAGUGUGCGGCUCAACCGUAAAAUUGCAGUUGAAACUGGCAGUCUUGAGUUCAGUAGAGGUAGGCGGAAUUCGUGGUGUAGCGGUGAAAUGCUUAGAUAUCACGCAGAACUCCGAUUGCGAAGGCAGUUCACUGGACUGCAACUGACACUGAGGCUCGAAAGUGUGGGUAUCAAACAGGAUUAGAUACCCGAGUAGUC